AACGAACGCUGGCGGCAGGCUUAAUACAUGCAAGUCGAGCGCUCUCUUCGGAGGGAGCGGCAGACGGGUGAGUAACGCGUGGGAAUCUACCCAUCCCUACGGAAUAGCUCCGGGAAACUGGAAUUAAUACCGUAUACGCCCUUCGGGGGAAAGAUUUAUCGGGGAUGGAUGAGCCCGCGUUUGAUUAGCUAGUUGGUGGGGUAAUGGCCUACCAAGGCGACGAUCAAUAGCUGGUCUGAGAGGAUGAUCAGCCACACUGGGACUGAGACACGGCCCAGACUCCUACGGGAGGCAGCAGUAGGGAAUAUUGGACAAUGGGCGAAAGCCUGAUCCAGCCAUGCCGCGUGAGUGAUGAAGGCCCUAGGGUUGUAAAGCUCUUUCAACGGUGAAGAUAAUGACGGUAGCCGUAGAAGAAGCCCCGGCUAACUUCG
rnacentral:rRNA from 1 species